rnacentral:rRNA from 1 species
GAUGAACGCUGGCGGCGUGCCUAAUACAUGCAAGUCGAGCGAACAGACGAGGAGCUUGCUCCUCUGACGUUAGCGGCGGACGGGUGAGUAACACGUGGAUAACCUACCUAUAAGACUGGGAUAACUUCGGGAAACCGGAGCUAAUACCGGAUAAUAUAUUGAACCGCAUGGUUCAAUAGUGAAAGACGGUUUUGCUGUCACUUAUAGAUUGAUCCGCGCCGCAUUAGCUAGUUGGUAAGGAAACGGCUUACCAAGGCGACGAUGCGUAGCCGACCUGAGAGGGUGAUCGGCCACACUGGAACUGAGACACGGUCCAGACUCCUACGGGAGGCAGCAGUAGGGAAUCUUCCGCAAUGGGCGAAAGCCUGACGGAGCAACGCCGCGUGAGUGAUGAAGGUCUUCGGAUCGUAAAACUCUGUUAUUAGGGAAGAACAAAUGUGUAAGUAACUAUGCACGUCUUGACGGUACCUAAUCAGAAAGCCACGGCUAACUACGUG